ACACUGACACUUAUCGAGCUGCCAGCACAAAAAAAAAAUAUAAUACAUUAUUAAUUAAUAAGUAAAUCUUGAUAAGACGAGUUCCUCCCUUUGGGAUAAAGUGUUUUACAAAUGGCAAUAAAACGCUAUCGCGAAAUGGCUUAUCACAUCAGCAGGCAUAAAUAAAAAUUAUCUUUUGAAGUAGCAACAAGCAACAAGCCGGAAACGGAAGUAGACGUGAAUUGCGUAAGUGAGGAAGAAGCGAGAAGCGAGUUACAGGCAACAUUCAUAAUGCACAUGUCCAAGAUAAACCAAAACAGAAGACAAAUGUUAGUUCAUAAAUUGUCAAGAAGUCGGCAAAAGAAGAGAAAAUGAAAACGAAAUGCCAUCUCCACUCAUUUUUCCCCGAAAUAUUCCCUGCCUUUUUUUCUUGUUUCUUCCACUCUUUUCUUCAAGAAGGAGAGCUCCUGCAUCGUUGUUUAAAAAAUGCAUAUAUGCAAUGGAACUUAAUUGAGCUUGCGGUAUUUAAAGAACUCGAGAUGGAAAUAAAUUUGCACUAAAUAAAACAGCCUUCAGGCUGAAUAGAAAUGCAACAUUUUGCAUGUCUAUAUAAAUAUGUAUUUACUCUAUUGUGAAAUGUAUAUAAAUAUAUAUUUACUCUAUUUCGAAAUUUGGUUUCAAGCCUACAAGCAUCAAGUCUGAUCAAGUGUUGCGAUUGAUUUUUCCUUCAAGAUGUCAUUAUUCAAGGGCACCAGUGUAAACAGAACAGAUAUCGCUUCGAGUGGACACAUCCGUUGGACUGGGAUGAGGGACUGUGAAGACAGGACACUGAUUCCGGCUGGAAGCCUAAACAAAUAUGCAGCUGCCGUGCUAUCAUCAGGUGAUGGGUGACGGGUGACUGGAGUCACGGAGUCAGGCCUUCAGGAAUUGCUCUUAUUUGUCUUCAUUACACUGGCCACUAUUCAGUUGGAUUGUUUUUGGGCAAAACCAGAACCAGAACCAGUACCAGUACCGUGUACCAAUACCAGGAGCAGGAAAUUCAAAUACGCUCACAACCCGAACCACAAUCAAAGUUUUUGGCCCACACAGAUGGAAGAUGCUUGUAGUGCUCCAAAUAGCUACAUAACUACAUAGCUACAUUGUUUUGCUUGCCUUUCUGUUUUGGUUAGCAUCUCAUCUCGGCUUCUCAGUUUUUUGGUCUUUUGUUUUUCGAUGUUGACGUCGAUGUCGCAGGACUCUUCCGCUACUUUGACUGCUUAGAUUAAGGACAUGGCAGGAGGAGGUUUGUUCGGGCAAGUUUUUUGCGGCUUUGCCUUGAUAAUCCCACGUCCUUUGCAGGACAUCAAGGGCAUUAGCAUGUGAUAUGUGUGUGUCUGCAAGUUCUUGGAUUUUUCGGUGUAUUUCAAAUCUGUAUAUAAAUGGCUUUCUAUCUGCUGAGACGAGUGCCGAAGUUUAUGAAACUUGGCCAAAGAUGUUGCCAGUUUAAGUUGAAGUUUCCUAAUUAGCCGGCAAAGCGAUAUCAAAGGAGUUAGAGGCUUUUGCGGCGAUUCAGGCGUUCCCUCUAUUCGUCAACUGUUGCUUUCGCCUCAACGGCGGCAGCCAUAAAAGAAAAAGCCAUUCGCGAAUUAUGCCCCGCCGUCAGCAAAAGCGGGAUCAACUGAAGUGGACUUGGACUUGGGAACCUGUGAAGUGGAAGCACCUCAGGCCCAGUUGCCAUCCCCAUCUUCCGGCCAGGAAGGUCCUAAGUCAACAUCCUGGACAUCCCGCACAUCCUGGACAUCCACAACAUCCCCAACCUCCUCAACAUCCUGGACAUUCCGGAGAGAGCGCAAAUAUGACUCAAUUCCUCCUUCUCUGCCAUUGCGCACCUUUCGCGAUAAUAAGUUGCGAGUUUAUUACUUCAUUUUCCUCACAACCGAAAAGGUCUUCAAAUGGGGAGCCUUUCAAGGUAUAGUUAUCCAGUCUUAUCAGUCUGCAAUCCAAAACUAGUCCAAAGCACCUGGUCUAUCUAGUCACUAUCUUGAACAGCACUGGGCCAAAAU